UGGAAAUUAAAGGCCUAGAGUAGGGGGUUCAAUAUACCACAGGGGGGUCAAAAUACCAUGGAAAAGUAAAAUUUUCAAAAUAUCUUUUCCAGCAAGUUAAAUACAUACAAACUACUUAUUGGUGUAUUCUAACUACAUAAAAGAGUUAGAAUUGCCAGAUUUUUGGAAAUUAAAGGCCUAGAGUAGGGGGUUCAAUAUACCGCAGGGGGGUCAAAAUACCAUGGCAAAGUAAAAUUUUCAAAAUAUCUUUUCCAGCAAGUUAAAUACAUACAAACUACUUAUUGGUGUAUUCUUACUACAUAAAAGAUUAAGAAUUGCCAGAUUUUUGGAAAUUAAAGGUCUAGAGUAGGGGGUACAAUAUACUGCAGGGGGGUCAAAAUACCAUGGCAAAGUAAAAUUUUCAAAAAUACUUUUCCAGCAAGUUUAAUACAUACAAAAUGCUUAUUGGUGUAUUCUUACUACAUGAAACAGUUAGAAUUGCCAGAAUUUUUUCAAUUAAAGGUCUAGAGUAAGGGGUUCAAUAUACCGCAGGGGGUCAAAAUACCAUGGCAAAGUAAAAUUUGCAAAAUAUCUUUUACAUCAAAGUUAAUGCAUACAAACUAAUUGUUGGUGUAUAUUAACUACAUAUAAGAGUUUAAAUUGCCAGAAUUUUUUGAAUUGUCUAGAGUAAGGGGUUCAAUAUAUUGCAGGGG
rnacentral:lncRNA from 1 species